rnacentral:rRNA from 1 species
AAGACCUUGCGCUUUUGGAGCGGCCGAUGCCUGAUUAGCUUGUUGGUAAGGUAAAAGCUUACCAAGGCUUCGAUCAGUAGCUGGUCUGAGAGGACGGCCAGCCACACUGGGACUGAGACACGGCCCAGACUCCUACGGGAGGCAGCAGUGGGGAAUUUUGGACAAUGGGGGCAACCCUGAUCCAGCCAUGCCGCGUGAGUGAAGAAGGCCUUCGGGUUGUAAAGCUCUUUCAGCCGGAACGAAACGGUUACGGUUAAUACCCGUGAUUACUGACGGUACCGGAAGAAGAAGCACCGGCUAACUACGUGCCAGCAGCCGCGGUAAUACGUAGGGUGCGAGCGUUAAUCGGAAUUACUGGGCAUAAAGCGUGCGCAGGUGGUUUUGUAAGUCAGAUGUGAAAGCCCCGGGCUCAACCUGGGAACU